AUGGAUCGUGUAGCUGCUCGAGGCCCCGAGCAGGAGCGCUCGGCCUCGUCCCCUCGCGUCGCCAUCGUCGGCAACCAGAACCUCCAGGCCAGCCCCUCGCGACCGUCUCCUUUUGUUCCCUCUUCCCUGCAUCUCUCUCUCCCUAAUCUCCUCAUCUCUCUCUACCUCAACAGGAGCUCGAGCGCCAUGGCCAUCCCGAGCUUGGCCCGCGCAGCUCGGAGACUCCAACCCCCCUUCGUUCCAGCAGCCCAGGAGGAUGCCGCCGUGCCCGUGCUGCAUCCCGCGAACCCACCGGCGACCCCGACCUUCAGACUACCACGACGCGCCCGAUGCUUCCUCGACCCCACUUUGGACCCCGACGCCACCUCAUCCUGCCGCCGCCGGCGACCAGCAGGAGCUCGUCGCCAUCAUCCUCGCCUGCAUCCGCCUCGCCCUCGCCAGCAAGCUGCCUCGCGCCUACUGGCUUCCUCGCUCCGCAAGCCUCAUCACGGGUCAACCGCGUCCGCUGCCAUGGACGUCCUCGUCGAGCCGUCGCCACAUCGGGCUCCACCGCCCAAGUCCACCAGGGCCUCAGCCAUGGCGUGCCCUCCUCCAUGCGCUGCCCUACCGGACCUCUCCUGCAGCCCGAGCUCCUCUCCCUCGCGCGCCAAGUUCGCCGUCGUCUUCUUCCUGCGCACCACCGAUGCCAGGUCCGGCCUCUGCUUUGAGCAGAUGAUGAGGACGCCCGUGUCUCGCCGCCCGAGCACCGCUGCUUGCCCUCGUCCCCUACGCCGGCAAGCUCGGCGCCACCGGAUCCACGUCUCCAGCCUGCCCGUGCUCGUGCACGCUAGCCUCCACCGGCCGUCUGCAAGCAGCAGCGCCGUCGCGGACAAGACCGAAGCCGCUCGAGAGUCGCCAUGGCUGUGUCCCCUUCGACCCUGCGCGCGAAUGCCUCGCUGCCUUGUAUGUUCGCGUUGA
rnacentral:rRNA from 1 species